UUAUAUAUAAUUGUUGGGUGGUUCAGA
rnacentral:piRNA from 1 species